CCUACGGGAGGCAGCAGUAAGGAAUAUUGGUCAAUGGACGCAAGUCUGAACCAGCUAUGCCGCGUGAAGGAUGACGGCCCUCUGGGUUGUAAACUUCUUUUAUCUGGGACGAAAAAAGCUCUUUCUAGAGCACUUGACGGUACCAGAGGAAUAAGCACCGGCUAACUCCGUGCCAGCAGCCGCGGUAAUACGGAGGGUGCAAGCGUUAUCCGGAUUUACUGGGUUUAAAGGGUGCGUAGGUGGGCAGGUAAGUCAGUGGUGAAAUCUCCGAGCUUAACUCGGAAACUGCCAUUGAUACUAUCUGUCUUGAAUUAUCUGGAGGUGAGCGGAAUAUGUCAUGUAGCGGUGAAAUGCUUAGAUAUGACAUAGAACACCAAUUGCGAAGGCAGCUCACUACGGAUAUAUUGACACUGAGGCACGAAAGCGUGGGGAUCAAACAGGAUUAGAUACCCUGGUAGUCCACGACCUAACGAUAGAUACUCACAUCAGCGAUACACUGUUGUGUGUG
rnacentral:rRNA from 1 species